rnacentral:rRNA from 1 species
AUUGAACGCUGGCGGCAGGCUUAACACAUGCAAGUCGAGCGGAGAUGAGGUGCUUGCACCUUAUCUUAGCGGCGGACGGGUGAGUAAUGCUUAGGAAUCUGCCUAUUAGUGGGGGACAACAUUCCGAAAGGAAUGCUAAUACCGCAUACGUCCUACGGGAGAAAGCAGGGGAUCUUCGGACCUUGCGCUAAUAGAUGAGCCUAAGUCGGAUUAGCUAGUUGGUGGGGUAAAGGCCUACCAAGGCGACGAUCUGUAGCGGGUCUGAGAGGAUGAUCCGCCACACUGGGACUGAGACGCGGCCCAGACUCCUACGGGAGGCAGCAGUGGGGAAUAUUGGACAAUGGGGGAAACCCUGAUCCAGCCAUGCCGCGUGUGUGAAGAAGGCCUUAUGGUUGUAAAGCACUUUAAGCGAGGAGGAGGCUACUGAGACUAAUACUCUUGGAUAGUGGACGUUACUCGCAGAAUAAGCACCGGCUAACUCUGUGCCAGCAGCCGCCGCGG